ACCGGCGCACGGGUGAGUAACACGUAUGCAACCUGCCUUCAACCGGAGGAUAACCCGUUGAAAGACGGACUAAUACUCCAUAACACAGGGGUCCCGCAUGGGGAUAUUUGUUAAAGAUUAAUCGGUUGAAGAUGGGCAUGCGUUCCAUUAGCUUGUUGGCGGGGUAACGGCCCACCAAGGCAACGAUGGAUAGGGGAACUGAGAGGUUUAUCCCCCACACUGGAACUGAGACACGGUCCAGACUCCUACGGGAGGCAGCAGUGAGGAAUAUUGGUCAAUGGGGGCAACCCUGAACCAGCCAAGUCGCGUGAAGGAUGAAGGUCUUAUGGAUUGUAAACUUCUUUUAUACAGGAAUAAAUUGGGGGACGUGUCCCCUUUUGCAUGUACUGUAUGAAUAAGGAUCGGCUAACUCCGUGCCAGCAGCCGCGGUAAUACGGAGGAUCCGAGCGUUAUCCGGAUUUAUUGGGUUUAAAGGGUGCGCAGGCGGGAUGUUAAGUCGGCGGUGAAAUUUUGCAGCUCAACUGUAAAAUUGCCAUUGAAACUGUUAGUCUUGAGUGCAAAUGAGGUAGGCGGAAUGUGUUGUGUAGCGGUGAAAUGCUU
rnacentral:rRNA from 1 species